GAUGAACGCUAGCGGCAGGCCUAACACAUGCAAGUCGAGGGGUAGAGGAAGCUUGCUUCCUUGAGACCGGCGCACGGGUGCGUAACGCGUAUGCAACCUACCUUUUACAGGGGAAUAGCCCCAGAGAAAUUUGGAUUAAUGCCCCAUGGUAUAAUCGGAUGGCAUCAUUUGAUUAUUAAAGUUCCAACGGUAAAGAUGGGCAUGCGUCCUAUUAGCUAGGUGGUAAGGUAACGGCUUACCAUGGCUACGAUAGGUAGGGGUCCUGAGAGGGAGAUCCCCCACACUGGUACUGAGACACGGACCAGACUCCUACGGGAGGCAGCAGUGAGGAAUAUUGGACAAUGGGCGCAAGCCUGAUCCAGCCAUGCCGCGUGCAGGAAGAAGCAUCUAUGGUGUGUAAACUGCUUUUGUAUGGGAAGAAACACUCCUACGUGUAGGAGCUUGACGGUACCGUAAGAAUAAGGAUCGGCUAAACUCCGUGCCAGCAGCCGACGG
rnacentral:rRNA from 1 species